rnacentral:rRNA from 1 species
CCCUUAGAUGUUCGGAGCUGCACGCGCGCUACACUGAAGGAAGCAGCGUGUUAGAGCGCCUGGCUUGAAAGAGCUGGGUAAUCCGGUGAAUGUCCUUCGUGAUUGGGAUAGGGACUUGUAAUUAUUUCCCUUGAACGAGGAAUACCUAGUAAGUGCGAGUCAUCAGCUUGCGCUGACUACGUCCCUGCCCCUUGUACACACCGCCCGUCGCUCCUACCGAUUGGGUGUGCUGGUGAAAUGUUCGGAUCGGCCGUUUGUCGCGGUUUCCGCGGCUCGUGGCUGAGAAGUUCAUUAAACCCUCCCACCUAGAGGAAGGAGAAGUCGUAACA